GGAGCUGUGGCUCAGUGGUAGAGCAUCUGCUUGGAAUGCAGAAGGUCCCAGUUUCAAAUCCUGCCAUCUCCA